AGCUUGCUACCUGACCUAGCGGCGGACGGGUGAGUAAUGCUUAGGAAUCUGCCUAUUAGUGGGGGACAACAUUCCGAAAGGAAUGCUAAUACCGCAUACGCCCUACGGGGGAAAGCAGGGGAUCUUCGGACCUUGCGCUAAUAGAUGAGCCUAAGUCAGAUUAGCUAGUUGGUGGGGUAAAGGCCUACCAAGGCGACGAUCUGUAGCGGGUCUGAGAGGAUGAUCCGCCACACUGGGACUGAGACACGGCCCAGACUCCUACGGGAGGCAGCAGUGGGGAAUAUUGGACAAUGGGCGAAAGCCUGAUCCAGCCAUGCCGCGUGUGUGAAGAAGGCCUUUUGGUUGUAAAGCACUUUAAGCGAGGAGGAGGCUACUGAGAUUAAUACUCUUGGAUAGUGGACGUUACUCGCAGAAUAAGCACCGGCUAACUCUGUGCCAGCAGCCGCGGUAAUACAGAGGGUGCGAGCGUUAAUCGGAUUUACUGGGCGUAAAGCGUGCGUAGGCGGCUUUUUAAGUCGGAUGUGAAAUCCCUGAGCUUAACUUAGGAAUUGCAUUCGAUACUGGGAAGCUAGAGUAUGGGAGAGGAUGGUAGAAUUCCAGGUGUAGCGGUGAAAUGCGUAGAGAUCUGGAGGAAUACCGAUGGCGAAGGCAGCCAUCUGGCCUAAUACUGACGCUGAGGUACGAAAGCAUGGGGAGCAAACAGGAUUAGAUACCCUGGUAGUCCACGCCGUAAACGAUGUCUACUAGCCGUUGGGGCCUUUGAGGCUUUAGUGGCGCAGCUAACGCGAUAAGUAGACCGCCUGGGGAGUACGGUCGCAAGACUAAAACUCAAAUGAAUUGACGGGGGCCCGCACAAGCGGUGGAGCAUGUGGUUUAAUUCGAUGCAACGCGAAGAACCUUACCUGGUCUUGACAUAGUAAGAACUUUCCAGAGAUGGAUUGGUGCCUUCGGGAACUUACAUACAGGUGCUGCAUGGCUGUCGUCAGCUCGUGUCGUGAGAUGUUGGGUUAAGUCCCGCAACGAGCGCAACCCUUUUCCUUAUUUGCCAGCGGGUUAAGCCGGGAACUUUAAGGAUACUGCCAGUGACAAACUGGAGGAAGGCGGGGACGACGUCAAGUCAUCAUGGCCCUUACGACCAGGGCUACACACGUGCUACAAUGGUCGGUACAAAGGGUUGCUACCUAGCGAUAGGAUGCUAAUCUCAAAAAGCCGAUCGUAGUCCGGAUUGGAGUCUGCAACUCGACUCCAUGAAGUCG
rnacentral:rRNA from 1 species